rnacentral:lncRNA from 1 species
UCAUAUCUCGUGAUGUUUUUAUCAAUUGGAUUUCAUCUUUUGACACAUUUAUUUUAUUAUUUCAGGUCAUACGGUAUGAUGUUCACAAAUUUUGCUUAUGAAAUAUUUCAGUACGGCGAACCAUCGUGGAAAUUCUUUGAAGACAUUAUUUUAUUGGAUUGGUUAUAUAAUGAUAUUAGAUAUUUCAUUCAAAUAAGUUUAGUUUUUAAGUUGUGAUACUAUAGUUUGGAUUAUACUUUCUUUCGUUUGUCUAGGAUUGAUG